UACGGGGGGGGGCAAGCGUUGUUCGGAAUUACUGGGCGUAAAGGGCUUGUAGGCGGCCAACUAAGUCCGACGUGAAAUCCCCAGGCUUAACCUGGGAACUGCGUCGGAUACUGGAUGGCUUGAAUCCGGGAGAGGGAUGCGGAAUUCCAGGUGUAGCGGUGAAAUGCGUAGAUAUCUGGAGGAACACCGGUGGCGAAGGCGGCAUCCUGGACCGGCAUUGACGCUGAAAAGCGAAAGCUAGGGGAGCAAACGGG
rnacentral:rRNA from 1 species